GUGUCAGCCGCCGCGGUAAUACAGAGGGUGCAAGCGUUGUCCGGAAUGAUUGGGCGUAAAGCAGUUGUAGGUGGUUUCUAAAGUCAACUGUUAAAUCCCAGAGCUCAACUUUGGACAAGCAGUUGAGUACUUAGGGACUUGAGUAUGGUAGGGGUAGAGGGAAUUCCUAGUGGAGCGGUGAAAUGCACAUAGAUUAGGAAGAACACCAGUGGCGAAAGCGCUCUACUGGGCCAUUACUGACACUGAGAGAUGAAAGUCGGGGGAGCGAAAAGGAUUAGAUACCCUUGUAGUCCCGACCGUAAACGAUGGAUACUAAGUGCUGUCAAAAACAGUGCUGUAGCUAACGCGUUAAGUAUCCCGCCUGGGGAGUAUGCUCGCAAGAGUGAAACUCAAAGGAAUUGGCGGGG
rnacentral:rRNA from 1 species